rnacentral:rRNA from 1 species
UGGGGAAUAUUGGACAAUGGGGGCAACCCUGAUCCAGCAAUGCCGCGUGUGUGAAGAAGGUUUUCGGAUUGUAAAGCACUUUCGGCGGGGACGAUGAUGACGGUACCCGCAGAAGAAGCCCCGGCUAACUUCGUGCCAGCAGCCGCGGUAAUACGAAGGGGGCUAGCGUUGCUCGGAAUGACUGGGCGUAAAGGGCGUGUAGGCGGGUUUGUACAGUCAGAUGUGAAAAUCCCCGGGCUUAAUCUGGGAGCUGCAUUUGAUACGCGCAGACUAGAGUGUGAGAGAGGGUUGUGGAAUUCCCAGUGUAGAGGUGAAAUUCGUAGAUAUUGGGAAGAACACCGGUGGCGAAGGCGGCAACCUGGCUCAUGACUGACGCU